GAAGUUCUGGCAUCUGACCAAAAAUGCCUCUGCCAUUUCCGUCCAUCUUCCUUCUUCCUUCACUGAUCUCAAUGUUGCCGGCACCAUGGGUGUUUGGAGAGCUGUGUUUGCCAUUGCUCUAUCAAGCGUCGGUCUACUUGAUUCUUGCCUGUGAACACCGUCGAUCACUUCUCCCCUGUUUUGGCGUUGAUGUCUGCUCGUGUGACUGGGGAAAAAAAAUUUGACCUUCUCCCUUUUCAGGUGUCAUAGGCUCUAUUAAUAUAUUAGUUGAUACUGCAACUUCCGCUGGUCCUUACGAGGAUGUUGUAUUCAAUUGAAACAAAGAAAGGGCGUGGCAAGCACCAAUAGGGAAACUUGAACAUCUAUCUCAGGAGAGCGAAAGAGAAGGAGAUGAAGAAUAUCAACGGCCAAAAGGAGAAGAGAAACUCACGCUUAAGUAAUAGACGAAGCUACGAUACCUCGCCUCGGCAGUGAUCGACGGUAAUGCCAAUCAGAAUGGAAACGAAACAGAAACAGAGAAGAAGGACGCACAAAAGGAAGAUCUAGAUCCGUUCAGCACUCUGAUGAUAGCAACAAGAUUCUGAGUGCGACAGAACACCCCCAGCUGCGUUUUAUGGUGACUCAAAGCUAUGAAGAGAAGAAAAAUUUUGUGCUUCGCAUCUUGUGCAUCAAGGGCCAAAAUCACUACUCACGCAAGCCAAUGAUGUCUGGAAAAUGGUGAAGGAAGAAAGGAAGGAGACGAUGACGGUUCCAGAGCUUCCCCUUCUCUGUUUUUAGUGUGCUUUCUCCAAAAGAAAAGAAUGAGGAGAGGAAAAUAUCAGAUUAAGUGGGAGGGACAUAAUAGUAAUUUUAACAGAUUAAUAGGGAAAUAAAAAUUCUCCUUUUGUCUCCAGAUAGUUUGAACCUGAGACAUCUUUGAAGUAAAUCUAGCUUAGCUACCACUAAACCAAUCCUCCUUCUCAGUAAUUUUAA